CCGGGGAAAGAUGUGUACAGCUACAGCAGACAUUAGUAACCAAGUAACGGAUGUAAAAAAGACUGGUGUCAUUUCGUGUGUAUCGUUCUUAUUGGUAGAUAAAUGUAUUUCCUGCUCCGAGAAAGUGAGAGAAGAAACGCAGGAGAAAUAGCUUGAUUUCUGCGCAAGAAAAGUUUUACAGAACAAGUGUCCUUUGCUAACAUACUGGUAGAAAGAUCCAUUUCUUUCGAUAGAGGGGUCACGUCAAAAUCGACCAACCGGUUGUUGAAAUAUCCAGACGAUGAGGACCUGCUUGACCGGACGAACCAGACCCCAACGACGAGAACGAAGGUUAUCGUGUCCAGGGCCCUACUCAAGCAUCAGAACAUGAAGAUGAUUAUAGGGGUAUGAGCCACAGCCAGAGCAUCUGCCUCCUCAGCCACAGCUUCCCCUUCCUCAGGCAGAGCCUCCUCUUCCUCAGCCUGGCCACUUGUCUAGACAACGCACUUCUGCUCCCCUCCCUCGGCCACGGUCUUCAUCGGACACAGAGUCCCCUGUAAAGAGCCCUCAACCCAAAAGAAAAGGAAAAGUUUUCUCAAAGUCAGCGCAUCCAAGUCAGCGUGGUGGAGGUAGGCCUGCCACUCCAAGAGUCGGGGAGGAAGAAGAGGAAGAAGAAGAUAGGUGGCAUAAUAGAGAAGAGAAAAAAGGGUCUACAUUUUGUGUGACAACCCACCCAAGGACACCAUAUCAUUGUUUAUAGUUUUGGGAUGUGUGUAAUUUUUGAUUUUAAAUGUGUUGUU